GAGAGGGUAGGGGUAGAGAGAAAGAGAGGGUAGGGGUAGAGAGAAAGAGAGGGUAGGGGUAGAGAGAAAGAGAGGGUAGGGGUAGAGAGAAAGAGAGGGUAGGGGUAGAGAGAAACAGAGGGUAGGGGUAGAGAGAAAGAUAUGGAGAACAAUGCCUUCACAUUGGCCGGGAGAAAGAAAAAGAGAAAUAGAAAGAGGACAAGCCUUGACGUGGGCAACACAUCCACCCUGGCCACUGCUGCGGAGACCGCAGGGCUGGCAUACUGAGACCGCAAGGCUGGCAUGCUGAGACCGCAGGGCUGGCAUACUGAGACUGCAGGGUUGGCAUACUGAGACCGCAGGGUUGGCAUACUGAGACCGCAGGGCUGGCAUACUGAGACCGCAGGGCUGGCAUACUGAGACCGCAGGGCUGGCAUACUGAGACCGCAGGGCUGGCAUACUGAGACCGCAGGGCUGGCAUACUGAGACCGCAGGGCUGGCAUACUGAGCUCCUAAAGAGAACAGUAUGUUUGUCUAAGAGAAAAUGAACUCCUGCAUUCACACAGUCAACAGCUGCUGCAGCAGUUGAGAUCUGCUAAAAGCUAAAAGCAGAUGCUGAAAGGAGAAUGGGUUUCAAAUGUACCGUGUCUAUCCAUGUCUCAGUUCAAUCAGUAUCGGUGGAAUAUUCCAAUUUCUGUACAAUGCUGUAACUCCAUUUUGAGUCAUCCAUGUUUGUGGCUCUUACGCCAUAGAUGUUGACUGGUAGAUGGAUAUGUUUGUGUUUUAUCCUUCUCCUUUGUCUUUUGCGUGAGUUGGCUAAAACAGAAACAAAUCUGGCGCAAAGCUCCAUGUUCACUGUCACCUUUUGCACCAUUAUGGCCUUUUGAUGUGUUUGAAUGACUAACCGUCCUCAGGUCUAGACGCUGUCACCAUUAUGGCCUUUUGAUGUGUUUGAAUGACUAACCGUCCUCAAGUCUAGACGCUGUCACCAUUAUGGCCUUUUGAUGUGUUUGAAUGACUAACCGUCCUCAGGUCUAGACGCUGUCACCAUUAUGGCCUUUUGAUGUGUUUGAAUGACUAACUGUCCUCAGGUCUAGACGCUGUCAGCAGCAGCAAUGGAUAUUUUCCAGGACUCUAUAAUAUGCAGUAGUAGGCUGUUAACAGUACAGUUCCGUAAUGAAUAGCAGAUCCCUUUGGUUCCCUCGGCCUACUCAUUCACAUUUCGUUAUUAAGGGCUUCAGUUAAUAUCGUCUUCAACAACAUUUUAUAUCACAAAACACCUACAUGUUAUUACGAAACAGUGUUAAGUUAACCUCCUUACACACACGCACGUAUGUACAAAUACAUGCUCCCACAAAUGUAGGCAUGCACGUACACACACAAACACACACGCCCCCCUCCGACACACACAGUCAAACUCUUUAAUCAAUAAAAGCUGUAGAUGAAAUCACACUGAAUAGACCUUAGAUGUGUCUUUACAGGGCUAUUUAACAAUGUAAAACAAACAUAUUAUAGGCUAAUAUGUGUUUUUUAAUUUAAUUGUAUGGUGCUUGUGUACAGUUGCUAUUGACAUAACAAAAUAGUCUAUUCUAUGUGUUGCUUUUCAAUGUUUGUAUUGUGUUCCAUCAUUUUAAUAACAACUUUGUAUAUGUUUGGUUAGUAUUCAUCACAUCCACUUCAUCAUUAUCUUGUACUGUACAAUACAUAUCCCAUGCUGUUGGACUAUCUAGCGUUGGGAUUUCUAUAAUGGCCAGUUUGCUAACCAGUUAUCCGAUGCAAUAAUGUUUGAAACCAUAUGUAAGCUGAGGGUGUGAGCUAUGGUACUUAUUUAAUAUGCAUAUGGAACGAUUGUGCUGUCAGGGACUCAAAUAACUCCCAAAACCAAAUAUUUGUUUAAUGUGUGACCAAAGUAUACUUUCAUGAAAAUAAAUUAGCAAUUCUUAUGUCAAAUGGUUUCACAUGAAGAUUUGUUUCAUGUUAACCCAUUUACUAAAGAUAUUUAUUUUGAGUCCACUAUUACUAGGUUUCUAUUCAACCAUUUCGUGAGGAUGAAUUACCUGAUGCAUGAAAAUAGUCACGAACGGACUGAUGCUAACAUAAUAUGACGGUACAAUUUUAUUAAUGUCUACAGACAAUUUGUUUGUUCGACAUGGUGGAAUCUUUUUGUGUUAGUAAAAUUAUGUAUGCGAGAAAUGCCGGUAGAAACGCCUUUAUGCUCAAAUAUUGAUAUAAUAACCAUCAUAUGGACGUUAACUUGGAGUCAUGCGAUGAUAUGUUGUGUGGUCCUCCCACUACGACUCAGGAAACCAUGUAGUUUAUUAGGCUACUGAUUAAAUAACAAUGAACUUCACAGGGUGGUGAAAGAGCAAGCUGAUGAGCUUGAUGCUCCUUUCUAAUCAAUAUCCAGGGUCUUAUUCUGGUGACAUGAACUGAUGCUUGGCUGCCGCUUGAAAAUAAAAAAUAAUAUUGCUCUUAUCCACAAUAAUCUAAUAAUGUAGGUAACCUACCUGCACUGUGUCUGUGAGCUGUUGGCUAACACGCACUUGCCAAUACCAGAGUGGGCAUAUAAAGCAACAGUUAGUCUGACAAAACCAUCAGUAGAGUUGAAAAUGCGAUUGAAACCCAUUUAACUUGUGAUUUUCAUUCUGUACAUGGCAAUUUAACCGCAGAAGGUAAUUGUAUUUACACUACGUCAUCACACACAGCCUUUUAUCAGCAAUAAGUCCAUUUGAUGGAAACACCUCUCAUGUGAGCAUGUUAUUUUAUGCAGAUUUUAGAAUAUUCGCAUCAAAUUGGAUGGAAACCUUGCUAAUGUUGUUAUGCCUAAUUGGUGUGUUUGUAUGGAAAACCGGAAUUGGACUUGGUGAUGUCUGCCCUCGGAAUAGCUGGGAUAGCUGUGGUUCAGUACUAGCUGCCUUGACUGCACAGCUGACUUACAGCCCAAAUAUCACUACAUUCAUUACUGUGAACCAAUAAAAAAACAGAUGCAAAGUUGUCUACCCUGCCUGUUUUUUUCUGAUCUUCUUGAUUCUCUUCGUCUUAAUUCUCUUUGACUUUAUGUCUACCCAGCCCAGC
ensembl:lncRNA